rnacentral:rRNA from 1 species
UCAGAACGAACGCUGGCGGCGAUGCCUAACACAUGCAAGUCGAACGAGACCUUCGGGUCGUAGUGGCGGCACGGGUGCGUAACGCGUGGGAAGUCUGCCCUUGGUUCGGAAUAACAGUUAGAAAUGACUGCUAAUACCGGAUAAUGUCUUCGGACCAAAGAUUUAUCGCCCAGGGAUGAGCCCGCGUAGGAUUAGCUAGUUGGUGAGGUAAAGGCUCACCAAGGCGACGAUCCUUAGCUGGUCUGAGAGGAUGAUCAGCCACACUGGGACUGAGACACGGCCCAGACUCCUACGGGAGGCAGCAGUGGGGAAUAUUGGACAAUGGGCGAAAGCCUGAUCCAGCAAUGCCGCGUGAGUGAUGAAGGCCUCAGGGUUGUAAAGCUCUUUUACCCGGGAUGAUAAUGACAGUACCGGGAGAAUAAGCCCCGGCUAACUCCGUG